rnacentral:sRNA from 1 species
CCUCGUCCGGUUUUACUCCUCCUCCCAGAAACCGGACCCUAAGCGCGGUACUCCUCCUCCCAACCGCGCUUUUCAGAUCGGCCCGCUUCGCUCCUCCUCCCAAUCGCGAAGCGGGCUUUUC